CCUAUGUGACGUUGAAAGGCGCAAGUCAGGCGCGCCAGUCUGACGUCACGAUCAAUAGAAGCAACUGCUUAAAAAUCACACAUAUUCCUUCGGUGUUUUAGUGUUUGUUCUUAAACAAUAUUAAUAAAAAGUUUUAGUUUUUUUCAAUCAUGUCAGCAGGGGAUGCACUAGCCCCCGGUGCGGGGGCGGCGGGUAGCGGCGGCGACGAUGGCAUUGUGGGCGGUCCGCGAACGCCACAACAAAUCGCGGCCCAACGACGGCUUCAACAAACACAGGCGCAAGUCGACGAAGUCGUGGAUAUCAUGAAAACGAAUGUAGAAAAAGUAUUGGAAAGAGAUCAGAAACUAUCAGAAUUAGAUGAUAGAGCAGAUGCUUUACAACAAGGUGCUUCACAAUUUGAACAGCAAGCGGGAAAACUAAAGAGAAAAUUUUGGUUACAGAAUUUAAAGAUGAUGAUAAUAAUGGGUGUUAUUGGUCUUGUAAUCUUAAUAAUCAUAGUCAUCGGACUAGUUAAAUACUUUAAAUCGAAAAGCACCCAAUAAAAGACGUAUUUUAAUAAUAUAAAAAAUUUACUAUCAAUAUUAUAGUAUAUUUUAUUUUUUCUAUAUAUUUUACAAGGAAAUGCAUAGCAUGUAUGCACGUAUGUGGCAUGGUAGAGGUUCUUUAAAAGAUAAUUCAGUUCGAAUAAUUGGCAAAUACAGAAAAUCUACAAUUAUUGAAUACAACACACCAAUACAAAAAAUCAAUAUUAAAGUAAUUUAAUCUAUAGGUUGGAUUGAAAUAGACGAUUAGGCAAGUUGGUUGAAAAAAAAUAUAAUCAGUUGUUAAAGGUUCAAUAAAUGGACACUGGUGUUUCACCAAGUAAUUGUAAUUCAAUAAUACUAAGCCUCUGGAAACACCAUUAUUUUAUUAUCACGGUAAAAUACGAGUGUCUAGCUGUCAAAAAUGUUAAAAUUGUGUAUUUAACGAAAAAAUUAAUAUAAUUAGGUGAACAGUACGAAAAAUUUGUUUUUUUUUAAUAUUAUUGUAGUAAGCGAACACUUUGUUAUCUUUUUAAUGUUUAAUUAAAAGAAAAGAAUAGAGUUUUACAUUUUUACAUUUAUAGACAAUUAAGAGAUUUAUCUAAUGAUUGUUAAAAAAGUAUUCUUUACAAUCUGAAAAAUCUUGUAGUUUCGAUAAAAGGCUGUCACAUCAACGCUCUCUCAACCGAAUUUGAAAUUUUUAAAAGAAGAAACAAUACCAAAAAUAUUAGUAAAUACAGAUAUGGUUGACAAAAAAAGGAGUAGGUGGACCAAGAAGGUGGUUAGAUGACGCAAAAAA
rnacentral:misc_RNA from 1 species